AUUGAACGCUGGCGGCAGGCCUAACACAUGCAAGUCGAACGAGUGGCGGACGGGUGAGUAAUGUCUGGGAAACUGCCCGAUGGAGGGGGAUAACUACUGGAAACGGUAGCUAAUAACGAAUACCAUCGGAUGUGCCCAGAUGGGAUUAGCUUGUAGGUGAGGUAACGGCUCACCUAGGCGACGAUCCCUAGCCGGUCUGAGAGGAUGACCAGCCACACUGGAGCUGAGCCACGGGCGAGACUCCUCAGGGAGGCAGCAGUGGGUAAUAUGGCACAAUGGUAGCAAGCCUAAUGCAUCCAUGCCGAGUGUAUGAAGAAGGCCUUCAGGUUGUAAAGUACUUUCAGCGGGGAGGCGUUACCCGCAGAAGAAGCACCGGCUAACUCCGUGCCAGCCGCCGCGGUAAUUC
rnacentral:rRNA from 1 species